rnacentral:rRNA from 1 species
GACGAACGCUGGCGGCGUGCCUAAUACAUGCAAGUCGAACGCAGUUGGGACGGGUGAGUAACACGUGGGUAACCUCCCAUCAGAGGGGAUAACACUUGGAAACAGGUGCUAAACCGAUAUUGACGGAUGGACCCGCGGUGCAUUAGCUAGGUGGUGAGGUAACGGCUCACCAGGGCCACGAUGCAUAGCCGACGUGAGGGAGUGAUGGGCCACACUGGGACUGAGAGACGGCCCAGAAGCCUACGGGAGGGAGCAGUAGGGAAUCUUGGGCAAUGGACGAAAGUCUGACAGAGAAACGCCGCGUGAGUGAAGAAGUGUUUCGGAUCGUAAAACUCUGUAGUUAGAGAAGCGGUAUCUAACCAGAAAGCCACGGCUAACUACGUGCCAGCAGCCGCGGUAAUUC